rnacentral:lncRNA from 1 species
UUCAGCAUUUUAGUGACAUUACGUCUUCGUACAGCAUAAAUGCUGCUCCUCCACUGAAAACAACAGUGAAACGUCCAUCACCUCCAGAAAACUGGAAUACCUUUGAAAGACUCUAUCCAGAUUAUAAGCAAAAUUCUCAGUCUUUAGUGUUGCCACCUCAAGCACAAACCAGCACAGGGCCAUCUCACGUGAAUUCUGAAGCCACAUUUCUUCCAUUGAAAUAUAAUCAAGGUUUUAUCAACUCCAGCCUUUCAAGCUGUAUGCAUGAGAGACCAUGUUUUUCAGAAGUAGCUCCAGAGAGGAAAGAGAAUUUCUUUGUUGUACCAAGGAGCUGUGAAGAUUUUGCUCAUCUAAAUGCUACAAAUUCUUUUCAUGUUAAAGGUCAGGCUUUCAGGACACACUAUGUCUCUGAUCGUUGCUCCAAAACUUCUGAAAAAGAUUUCUUUACAACUUUCAGUGACUGCAUACCUCCUGACAGCUCUACAGCUUUUCUGGAAGAAUUUAGAGACACAGCAUUUAAGAGCCCAGAAAUUCUGAUUGAUGAGACUCCAUGGAAUGACUUUCCAUCCACUUCCACGUACAAUUCAUUUGCAACUAACUUAAUUCACUCUGAUUCUCUUGUUGAUCCAGAUGAAAUUCAAACUCCAUGUUCCCAAAACCAGGGUCGAGAACCUUCAGGAAAGAGAAAGCGAAGUGCACCAUUCUUAUGGGCAAAAGGAAAAAAACUAACAGAUUUGGGAUUUGAACAAGUACCAAGAACUAAAAAAAGGAGAUUGAUGUAUGAGAGAGUCCCUGGAAGAGCUGAUGGACAAACACGUCUUAAAUUCUUUUGAAUUGAAUGGUGACUUGCAUGCCAUGUCUAUUUUUUUUUCCCCAUCCUUAAGCCAUUUGAGUGGAAAUUUAUUAAAUUCUGUUGUUGUUGUUGUUCAUUUUUAAAGGGAAAAUUGUGUUUGGGAUUUCUGACUAAAUAAGGAUUCCUUUUCUUUUAGUUCUCACUAAACAAUCCAGUUCCUUUAAGCAGGAGAAUUACUGAUGUAAACACUUACCUGUUUGUUCAUAUACAUUGUAUAAAGUUACUUCAUCGUUUUUUUAUUUAAGGAAAGAAAAAAGAAAUAACCUGCUAAAGCAUGUUGUGUUUUCAAACAACCUAUGUUUCCUCCCUGAGCAUGCAGGCUUCCACAUUUUAUAGCAGGACUGAAUUUGCCUGAAUCUCAAAACUGGUGAUACAGUCUUAGAAAUUCCUUGCGUAUAAAGCAGGAGAUCUUUCUGUUUGUCCUUUGGGUUCAAUUCCACUUCAUUCCUUCUGACAGCUCCUCUGGAAACCCUGUGAUAAGUUCCUUUAUGGCUUGAGUGUGGCUUUAGUCACAAGCAACCUUCAGAAACAACACAAUUGGUUAUGACAGGAAAGAUAGUUGAAGUUUCUGAUUCUCAUAGAUCUGACUCGGAGAAUAACACUGUGACUCUAGCUCUUCACAUUAUCUAGUGGAGGCUGUUUGUUGAUUUACCAGUUUUUCAGCCUGCUACACUGCUUCUGUGUGAAAGAAGAUGAGAAUCAUCUAGGAGACAAUACCAGAAAUUCUAGGCCAUAGCAAGAGAGCAUAGGAGAUCAGACAACAAAAAAGUCAUCUCCGUUGCAAACUGCAGAAGAGAGAAUGUGUCCAACUUCCCACUCUCCAUCAAAAGAGCUAGAAAUAUUUGUGGAGGCAAUGGUAGAGAGUAACUCCGUGCUGCUGUUGGCAUGCAGAGUCUGCCAGCUUCAGAAUAUUAGUGUCUGUUAAGUGACCUUCCAUUCAGAUGAGGCAGUUUUCAAACUCACUUUCUUUGUUUUUUAAGUUUAAUGCAGUAACAGAAAAAAACGUAUGUAUGGUUUAGGCCUGAAAUAAAAUAAUUUAUUGAUAUUGAGUCUUCAUUACGCACAUAUUCAUUAUCUGUUUAAAUACAGCCAGUUCUUAGAGGAGCAGCUCUAGCUUCUCUGAUUGUUAAAUGAGAACUCCUAAAAGUACGAUGUCAGUUCCAGGAGUAAUCGUAGUUCACAGUAAUAUCCACAGGUUAUUUGUAUCCAAACUGUUUGCAGGACAUUGCAGAAUACUUUUCAUGUGUAGUAUUAAUAAAAUCUUUCGUAGGAUUGUAGAUUUGCCAAUGUUUGCAUGUUUGACCAUAACAAAGCAGUUACUAAAAUAAAAGUUUCAUUUUGGUCGCUAUUUCUGGCCCAUUUUUGUGGUUGCUCGACCUAACCAUUUUCCAUCUCAUUACAACACAGAUUUGGCUCUGUUCUUCAGAACUGUCUCCCAGCUUGCCAG